CCGAGUUACACGUCUUCUGGGUCUCCUUGUUCUUAGACACUGUACUCAGAUACUGUCCUCAGCCCAAAGCGCCUCGUUGUCCGCCCACCCCCUGGGCAUUGUCACCUAUGAGCUCGCCUCGCCUCAUCUCUACCUCUGAGGCUGGAGGGCGCCCUCACAUCUGCGAUCCGUGUGGAACAUCUGAUGCACCUGAAGGAUCCCUUCACAUAUGUGCCCCUGGCAGCCUCAGGACCCCCUGCACUGAUCUGGGUGCGCUGCCCCAUUUAUGAUCACAUGUCAGGGCAUCUGACAACCUGUGCUGACCACCCCAGAGCACUGUUAAGGGCCACCAUUGGCCCAUGGGGCGGGGAGCACUGCAGCCUCCCCCAGAGCUAGCAGAGAAUCUUUGUGUCACCUUUUUAUUUCUUUCUCCAUUAGACCUGGCUUCUAGACUUUUCUUGUGUUUGGAUCCAAAGGAUAUUGUUCGGUCACCUGUGGUCAGCGAGCAGGUGACGAUGAUCUCAGGGCCAAGGAUGCCAGAGGCCAAGUCCAAGCUGGAGCUGCAUGUCUCAGGCUGCCAGGUGUCUGUGCUCCUGGGCGGAGCCUGGGGAGAGGGCAGAGGGGUGACACAGAGGAGGCUGGGGCUGUGGUGCAGGGCAGGGAAUCCAGUCCAGCUCCUGUCUCUCAGGUUCAGAAGUGUCUAGCUUUGCCUUUGCAGGUGAGCAGGCAAGGGUGAGGGCAGGGAUUGGCAUGGUUUGGAGGAAAGGAAGAAUGGAUUAUAAUCACAGGGCUCAGAGGGCCUGUAGGAGGUCAGGAGGUCACCCGGCACCUACUGGGUGGAUACCUAGGAGACUGGGGAACACCUUGCAAAGCACAGGACAGCCUCCCAACCCAGAACUGCACAGCCCGCAGUGCCAGCCAGCUAGUUUGGGAGAUUCUGCUGUAGUUGGAUUCACUCAUGUCACAGGAGCUUCACUAACUAAGGCCGUAGAUCCAAGAUCCAAAUCUGGUUCUGGUCUUACGUGGUACUAAUAGAUGUCGUGUUCUCUCUCCCUGUUUGCGCCGUCAGUGGCAGAAUGGCCAGGUCCUAAGAUCUUCUCCUGAGUAAUCAAAUACUCGUUCUCAAAUCCCUUCUGACAAUUUCAUACUGACGAGGUUUCCUUCAAUUAGCAUCUCACACUGGGGUCUGGGUCCAUGACAUGUCUGCAGCCCAUGGCCUGCCGCCGGUGACCAUCAGUGUGGCCGGCGAGUUAAGAAGGGGAAGCCACAGGUGUGCAUGUUUUAACUGCAGCCAGAGGCAGGAUGAUGCAGGAGGGCAGGGGGACAGGGAGGGUGACACCUGGGAUUGCUUGGCACCAACGUCAGAGCUGAACAGUACCUACUUGUGAACCCGGCAUCGGGUGCCCACAAACAGCAAAGGUAGAUUUUUACAAAACAAGCACUUGUGAGCCGGUCAAAAUCUGCAUCAGGUUCAGACGUGCAGUCGCACAGCGUUGCCUGCUCCCCGGGACCGCUCUCCACUGGCCACCUGAUUCCCACUGACCACGAGUGGGAGGGAAAUGCAAGCCAGCCGGCCGGGCCGAUUGUAGGUGUUCCUGCUUGUCUCCGCUUUUGGAUAAAUGUUCCUCAUUCGAUUGACCUUUUGGGUUGAUUUUUUGCUGCUUAAAGACCGGCCCCUCUCCUGCCUCCCCAGGAUGGUGCCUGGACACGAGGAAGGCCAGUGGGAGAAGGAUGACGCCAGUGGCAUGUCUGGCCAUCUCAGCUCUGAUGCAGUCUGCCCCGAGGGGGUGUCAGACUGGCCCCCAUGCCUCCGAUGCUGGUCUCUGUUUCUGGGAUCACCUGGGUGUACGUGGGAGGGUCCCACAACCCCUCCUUGGGCUCCCAGAGCUCAGAGAAACAUCUUUUGCAGGGUUUCUAUAAGAGGAUGCACUUUGGGGCUAGCCAGGUGGAGGGAGCCAGCACAGGGUGAAGUCUGGGGCAGGGGUGCUGACCUCCCUGAAUUUGUGCACCUCCCUGGAAGCUUCCUGAGCCCCCGCCUCUGGGUUUUUAGGAAGCUUCAGGACAGAUGCCUAAUGGGCGGAAUCUUUGGCUGCUGACUAUGGGUUCCCAGGUGUGUGAGGGGGAGGGUGGCACUGGGAGAUCAGCCCACUCAUUCCUGGCUUGUUCCCCUGGCAACCACUUGGGUCACCUAGGGGCUUUCCAGAGCCACCUCGUUAACAUAACAAGAGAACCAUACUUUCUUCCACUGCCUAGAAACCUGCCUAGGUUUUGGGAGCUCUGAGCCCAGAAACGGGCCCAAGAGCCAGAAAGCAUUGUUGUUAUAAAUCAUGGUGUCUGGGGCCGGCUGGUGCCCUUGGUGGGGGUCCUGCUCCCCCUGGGAGGUCUGACUGUGCGGUGUCAGCCCAUUCCCCUCCUAUAGUCGGGGUCCCGGGGGCUCCCUGGCCUGAGCCUGCAGCUCUGACAGCUCUGGGUGGGAUUGACCUGCCCAGUCCCUGCUCCCCAUGGGCAGGAGUCCCUGAGGCUAUGCCAUCUCCCCUCUCCCUGCCCCCAGGCUCUGUGUGGCCACCAUCAUCCUGCUCCUGGGUCCCCAAUGCCAGGCCAGGCACGGAUGCCCUCCGCUCUGGCUUCUUUAGCCUCUGCGGCUUUACUACUGUUCCUGCUCCUGCCACUGCUGAGCCUUCCUGAGGGGCUACUUUAGAAGUCCCAGGACCUGACCUUUGCUCCAUCCCUGCUUCUUCCCCUGUCUUUCUGCUGGUGGCCCAGAGGCAGCCCCAUGUCUCCUUUCCAUGUUUGGAAGCACCCACAAGCUAGAGCUUGAGUUCUUGCUACCCAGGUGUUCAACCUUCAGGCUCCGAAUUUGACAUGUAAAGGGAAUUUCUGAUGUAGCAAUUUUGUCCUAACAAAGCCUGACUCAGGAUGACUGUCUCUUGGUGGACUUAAAACCUCUCUGACUGAGCUUCUCACUGCUAGGGUUGGGUAUGUUUGGCGUUUACUGGGAGUUCCUGGAUGCCAUGUGGGCAGGGCCCUAAGGGAUCAAUAUUUAAGUGGAAUUUAAAAAUCACUUUAUUAUUUUAAUAACUGAUUAAACCCGAGUACGGAUAAGAAAAACAAAGCUCAACUGGUUCCCCAACUGCCCCUGAGGUCAGUGACCACAGCCCCCCAUUCUAGCUCUAAUUCACGGCUGGAUUUUGCUGGAAGGUGGCCAGUGAGGAGGAACUUACCCAUCAAGAUUUUCUCUGGUUUUUCCGCCCACCUUAUUCACCACCAGAAGCCUUUUUUUUAAAAUUUUUAUUUAUUUAUGAUAGUCACAGAGAGAGAGAGAGAGGCAGAGACACAGGCAGAGGGAGAAGCAGGCUCCAUGCAGGGAGCCUGACGUGGGAUUCGAUCCCAGGUCUCCAGGAUCGCGCCCUGGGCCAAAGGCAGGCGCCAAACCACUGCGCCACCCAGGGAUCCCACCAGAAGCCUUUUGUACCCAAACAGCCCCUUGGCUGCUUUUGGAAAUUAAAACUAGGGUCAAAGUUCAAAGCUGUGUCCCUCCUGAGAGGAAUCCAGCGAAUGUGCCACGGGCUUCAAGGCAGGUCCCAAACAAGUUCCUGAAAUGUUCUGAGCAGCAGAAUAAAUGUCUUUCCUCCCACGAGGACUGUUUGGAAGGGAAAAUGCUUAUUUGGAUGUGUUCCGGUCCUGACAGUCCACUCACACCUGAUGUGGGCCCUGGCGGAAAUCCACACACCUGCGCGUGCAGCCCCUGCUCGAGCCCUGCGCUGGCCACUGGCACCAGGAGGACCUGUGAGAGGUCAUAAGUGAGCAGAUGAAAAGAAAACUGAACUCUGCCAGCUGGGCAGCCCUGUUUGAUGUCAGCAACCCAGGGCCGUGGAGUCUCCGGGGUGCCUUGGAUUCUAAUGUAAUGUCUGCGGAGUAUUCGGGGAGGGCUGCUGGAGGCCGCGGAGCCAGCAGCGAGAACGUCCGUGCAGAGGGCACCCUGCGUCAGCGCCCGUGCCUGUGCCAGGGAGCCUUCCCUCAUUACCUGCCCGCGCCCUGGAUGCUGGCAGAGGAGGGAACUGUCAGGCCCAGCACCUGUCCUCCUGGGCUCCAUGGCCCCGCAGGCCAGGGAGACUCAGGAGCAAAUGUUCAAGGGGUCACCGGGGGUUUGCACAAGAACAAACCGUAAUCUGUCAAU